GAUGAACGCUGGCGGCGUGCCUAAUACAUGCAAGUCGAGCGAACAGACGAGGAGCUUGCUCCUCUGACGUUAGCGGCGGACGGGUGAGUAACACGUGGAUAACCUACCUAUGAGACUGGGAUAACUUCGGGAAACCGGGGCUAAUACCGGAUAAUAUAUUGAACCGCAUGGUUCAAUAGUGAAAGACGGUUUUGCUGUCACUUAUAGAUGGAUCCGCGCCGCAUUAGCUAGUUGGUAAGGUAACGGCUUACCAAGGCAACGAUGCGUAGCCGACCUGAGAGGGUGAUCGGCCACACUGGAACUGAGACACGGUCCAGACUCCUACGGGAGGCAGCAGUAGGGAAUCUUCCGCAAUGGGCGAAAGCCUGACGGAGCAACGCCGCGUGAGUGAUGAAGGUCUUCGGAUCGUAAAACUCUGUUAUUAGGGAAGAACAAAUGUGUAAGUAACUAUGCACGUCUUGACGGUACCUAAUCAGAAAGCCACGGCUAACUACGUG
rnacentral:rRNA from 1 species